GAUGAAGAACGCAGCGAAAUGCGAUAAGUAGUGUGAAUUGCAGAAUUAAGUGAAUCAUCGAAUCUUUGAACGCACAUUGCGCCCCUUGGUACUCCAUGGGGCAUGCCUGUUCGAGCGUCAUUUACACCCUCAAGCUCAGCUUGGUGUUGGGCGUCUGUCCCGCUUCGUGCGCGGACUCGCCUCAAAUGCAUUGGCAGCGGUCUUGCCAGCUUCUCGCGCAGCACAUUGCGCUUCUAGAGGCUUUGGCGGAUCGGCGUCCAUCAAGUACUCCCACAGUUUGACCUCAGAUCAGGUAGGGAUACCCGCUGAACGUAAGCAUAUCAAUAAGCGGAGGA
rnacentral:misc_RNA from 1 species